rnacentral:rRNA from 1 species
UACGGAGGGUGCAAGCGUUAUCCGGAUUCACUGGGUUUAAAGGGUGCGUAGGUGGGCUGGUAAGUCAGUGGUGAAAUCUCCAGGCUUAACUUGGAAACUGCCAUUGAUACUAUCAGUCUUGAAUACCGUGGAGGUCAGCGGAAUAUGUCAUGUAGCGGUGAAAUGCUUAGAUAUGACAUAGAACACCAAUUGCGAAGGCAGCUCGUUACACGAAGAUUGACUCUGAGGCACGAAAGCGUGGGGAUCAAACAGGA